AUAAUAUUUGCAGCAUAUAUACUAAAAUUGGAAUGAUAUAGAGAAGAUUAGCAUGGACCCUGUGAAAGGAUGACACAAAUCUGUGAAGUGGUCCAUGCUAUA
ensembl:snRNA U6 U6 spliceosomal RNA